UACGAGGGGGGCGAGCGUUGUUCGGAAUUAUUGGGCGUAAAGGGUGCGUAGGCGGUUUGGUAAGUCUCUUGUGAAAUCUAUGGGCUCAACUCAUAGUCUGCAAGGGAAACUGCCGGGCUUGAGUGUGGGAGAGGUGAGUGGAAUUUCCGGUGUAGCGGUGAAAUGCGUAGAUAUCGGAAGGAACACCUGUGGCGAAAGCGGCUCACUGGACCACAACUGACGCUGAGGCGCGAAAGCUAGGGGAGCAAACAGG
rnacentral:rRNA from 1 species